AGAGUUUGAUCAUGGCUCAGAUUGCACGCUGGCGGCAGGCUUAACACAUGCAAGUCGAGCGGGGAAGGGUAGCUUGCUACCUGACCUAGCGGCGGACGGGUGAGUAAUGCUUAGGAAUCUGCCUAUUAGUGGGGGACAACAUUCCGAAAGGAAUGCUAAUACCGCAUACGCCCUACGGGGGAAAGCAGGGGAUCUUCGGACCUUGCGCUAAUAGAUGAGCCUAAGUCAGAUUAGCUAGUUGGUGGGGUAAAGGCCUACCAAGGCGACGAUCUGUAGCGGGUCUGAGAGGAUGAUCCGCCACACUGGGACUGAGACACGGCCCAGACUCCUACGGGAGGCAGCAGUGGGGAAUAUUGGACAAUGGGCGAAAGCCUGAUCCAGUCAUGGCCGCGUGUGUGAAGAAGGCCUUUUGGUUGUAAAGCACUUUAAGCGAGGAGGAGGCUACUGAGAUUAAUACUCUUGGAUAGUGGACGUUACUCGCAGAAUAAGCACCGGCUAACUCUGUGCCAGCAGCCGCGGUAAUACAGAGGGUGCGAGCGUUAAUCGGAUUUACUGGGCGUAAAGCGUGCGUAGGCGGCUUUUUAAGUCGGAUGUGAAAUCCCUGAGCUUAACUUAGGAAUUGCAUUCGAUACUGGGAAGCUAGAGUAUGGGAGAGGAUGGUAGAAUUCCAGGUGUAGCG
rnacentral:rRNA from 1 species